rnacentral:lncRNA from 1 species
AGGGUGCAGUUUGAGCAAAGGGUCCCCCACUACCAGAGUUAAUAACUUGGAAAGCAAAUGAUGCUGACUUAGAGUGAGAGAAUGCAUGGGGGGCCUUCAAGAACUUCACAUGAACGUCAGAACCACCACAUUUAGUAAUGGAACACAGCAAUGAUAAAACUAAAACCCAACAGAGCAAACAAAUAAAUGGGACUCUAAGCAGAGCCAUUUUAUAACAAAGUAGGAGUGGAUGCCACUUAUGUGUGAAAGAGUGACUUCUUGUUAUUGUGGAGAAAGUGUUUGAAGAGAGGGAAGAGGGCCUUUGCAUGCAAGAGAGUAUACAUAGAGAUAGAGUAAGAGAGAGGUAUACAGAAGUUGUUGUUUUAAGAAGGUGCCUUGAAUUGAACUAUGGCCAUUGAUAAUUGCAUUAAGGAUAAGCGUAGGUACAUAAGCUAGGAAGAAGUACAAUCCUCUAUUUCGUUACCUUUAACGUUGUAAUAAUUGAUUAAAGAGAUAGAUGCACG